GUAUCAAAAACAUGGCCUUUUGUUAUAUUAAGGUCUAACCUGCCCAAUGAAAAUUAAAUGGCCGCGGUAUUUUGACCGUGCAAAGGUAGCAUAAUCAUUAGUUUCUUAAUUGGAAGCUGGCAUGAAAGGUUGAAUGAGAAAAUAGCUGUCUCUUUGAAAUUUUAUUAGAAUUUUAUUUUUAAGUAAAAAAGCUUAAAUAUUGUUUAAAGACGAGAAGACCCUUUAGAGUUUCAUAUAAUUUUAAUGUUUAAAUUUUUAGUAUUUAUUGUUUAGUGAUUUUUAUUGUAUUUGGUUGGGGUGAUUGGAAAAUUUGAUUAACUUUUCUUUUAUAGCCAUUUAUUUAUGAAAAAAUGAUCCAUUUUUUAUGAUUAUAAGAAUAAAUUACCUAAGGGAUAACAGCGUUAUUUUUUUUGAGAGUUCUAAUCGAAAAAAAAGAUUGCGACCUCGAUGUUGGAUUAAAAUUAAAUUAUGGUGCAGCUGUCAUAAUUUUAGGUCUGUUCGACUUUGAAAUUUUACAUG
rnacentral:rRNA from 1 species